rnacentral:rRNA from 1 species
AAUAGAUACCCCGGUAGUCCACGCCCUAAACGAUGUCUACUAGUUGUCGGGUCUUCAUUGACUUGGUAACGCAGCUAACGCGUGAAGUAGACCGCCUGGGGAGUACGGUCGCAAGAUUAAAACUCAAAGGAAUUGACGGGGACCCGCACAAGCGGUGGAUGAUGUGGAUUAAUUCGAUGCAACGCGAAAAACCUUACCUACCCUUGACAUGGUCGGAACCCUGAAGAGAUUCGGGGGUGCUCGAAAGAGAACCGAUACACAGGUGCUGCAUGGCUGUCGUCAGCUCGUGUCGUGAGAUGUUGGGUUAAGUCCCGCAACGAGCGCAACCCUUGUCAUUAGUUGCUACGAAAGGGCACUCUAAUGAGACUGCCGGUGACAAACCGGAGGAAGGUGGGGAUGACGUCAAGUCCUCAUGGCCCUUAUGGGUAGGGCUUCACACGUCAUACAAUGGUGCAUACAGAGGGUUGCCAAACCCGGCGAGGGGGGAGCCCAAUCCCAGAAAGUGCAUCGUAGUCCGGAUUGCAGUCUGCAA